AGCGAACGCUGGCGGCAGGCCUAACACAUGCAAGUCGAACGAACCUUUCGGGGUUAGUGGCGGACGGGUGAGUAACACGUGGGAACGUGCCUUUAGGUUCGGAAUAACUCAGGGAAACUUGUGCUAAUACCGAAUGUGCCCUUCGGGGGAAAGAUUAAUCGCCUUUAGAGCGGCCCGCGUCUGAUUAGCUAGUUGGUUGAGGUAAUGGCUCACCAAGGCGACGUUCAGUAGCUGGUCUGAGAGGAUGAUCAGCCACAUUGGGACUGAGGCACGGCCCAAACUCCUACGGGAGGGAGCAGUGGGGAAUCUUGCGCAAUGGGCGAAAGCCUGACGCAGCCAUGCCGCGUGAAUGAUGAAGGUCUUAGGAUUGUAAAAUUCUUUCACCGGGGACGAUAAUGACGGUACCCGGAGAAGAAGCCCCGGCUAACUUCGUG
rnacentral:rRNA from 1 species